rnacentral:rRNA from 1 species
UACGUAGGGUGCGAGCGUUGUCCGGAAUUACUGGGCGUAAAGAGCUCGUAGGCGGUUUGUCGCGUUGUUCGUGAAAUCUCACGGCUUAACUGUGAGCGUGCGGGCGAUACGGGCAGACUGGAGUACUGCAGGGGAGACUGGAAUUCCUGGUGUAGCGGUGGAAUGCGCAGAUAUCAGGAGGAACACCGGUGGCGAAGGCGGGUCUCUGGGCAGUAACUGACGCUGAGGAGCGAAAGCGUGGGGAGCGAACAGG